rnacentral:rRNA from 1 species
CAGUAGCCACGGUAAUACGGAGGGGGCUAGCGUUGUUCGGAAUUACUGGGCGUAAAGCGCACGUAGGCGGCUUGGUAAGUUAGAGGUGAAAGCCUGGAGCUCAACUCCAGAAUUGCCUUUAAGACUGCCGAGCUAGCAGGUGAGAGAGGUAAGUGGAAUUCCGAGUGUAGAGGUGAGAUUCGUAGAUAUUCGGAAGAACACCAGUGGCGAAGGCGGCUUACUGGCUCAUACUGGACGCUGAGGUGCGAAGGCGUGGGGAGCAAACAGGAUUAGAUACCCCUGUAGUCCCUGUCUCUUAUAC